UACGGAGGGUGCAAGCGUUACCCGGAAUCACUGGGCGUAAAGGGCGUGUAGGCGGCUCGUUCAGUCUGGUUUUAAAGACCGAAGCUCAACUUCGGGCAUGGACUGGAUACUGGCGAGCUAGACGGAUGGAGAGGUCACUGGAAUUCUUGGUGUAGCGGUGGAAUGCGUAGAGAUGCGGAGGAACACCAGUGGCGAAAGCGACUUUCUGGUCCUUAACUGACGCUGAG
rnacentral:rRNA from 1 species